AGUGGGAUUGCUGGGUCAUAUGGUAAUUCUAUUUUUAAUUUUUUGAGAAAUAUCCAUACUGUUUUCCAAAGUGGCCGCACCAGUUUGCAUUCCCACCAGCAGU
rnacentral:pre_miRNA from 1 species